rnacentral:rRNA from 1 species
ACUCCUACGGGAGGCAGCAGUGGGGAAUAUUGCACAAUGGGCGCAAGCCUGAUGCAGCCAUGCCGCGUGUGUGAAGAAGGCCUUCGGGUUGUAAAGCACUUUCAGUAAGGAGGAAAGGUUAGUAGUUAAUACCUGCUAGCUGUGACGUUACUUACAGAAGAAGCACCGGCUAACUCUGUGCCAGCAGCCGCGGUAAUACAGAGGGUGCGAGCGUUAAUCGGAUUUACUGGGCGUAAAGCGUGCGUAGGCGGCCAUUUAAGUCAAAUGUGAAAUCCCCGAGCUUAACUUGGGAAUUGCAUUCGAUACUGGAUGGCUAGAGUAUGGGAGAGGAUGGUAGAAUUCCAGGUGUAGCGGUGAAAUGCGUAGAGAUCUGGAGGAAUACCGAUGGCGAAGGCAGCCAUCUGGCCUAAUACUGACGCUGAGGUACGAAAGCAUGGGGAGCAAACAGGAUUAGAUACCCUGGUAGGCUCUG